GGCGGCCUUGACGCCACCGCAGCUUUUAACCAGCGGCACGGAUCGUGCUCUUCCAGGAGCAGUUUUAACCCCCGAAGCCUGCUGCAUAUGGCGCCAGUCGGCGGUGCGAAUUUUAAUCCGGACAAAGAUGUGCGAUCGGUUUCAUCACCCGGGACGAUCCUUGGCUGUUGCAUGAAGUAGGUUCAAAAGGAAAAGGUGAAAGCAGGGCCCAAGGAGCAGGCAGCCUGAAUCGCUGUAGUUAUGCAGAGAGGUGGUCAGAGCCUAACGCUUUGCGGUCCACCCACUUUAGUACUAACAGGGACCAGAUAAAUAGCUGACUUCUGGGUCAGCGUUCCGAAUCUCCGGGCUCCACCAAAGCAGAUUAGCCUGUCUUACCUGGACUGCAAUGCUUUAUUAAAUUUACCUUCUGUAAAUAAACUACAUUCAAAUAAAACUUGAGUGUUAACUUUUAUAGAAAAAAUAAUUUGUACCCUUCCUGCCCUAACAUUUGCCUUUGCUGAGACAGUAGUUUUUCCAAGAACUCUUUCCAAAUCGCUUUCACUAACCCCUCCUCUUCAGUGAGUUUCCACUUUUGCCCUUUGAAACCGCUAGGGACGCUUAAAAGCCCCAAGAGAAACAAGGGUUAAACCCAGAGAUCUUAACAUUGCAAAUUGCUUCAGGAUAGGAACCAGGUGUGCUGUCAGAGACUACCAACAGAUUACUCCCUGACUUUGGGCUCAAGAGUUAUCCAGGUAAUUGUUCAUCCUUUAAGCCCAGAUCGCUUGCACAAAAAUAGUCAGAUUGGCCCUCUAAUCAAACAAGUCAGUAGGCUACUUUUGCAAUUGAAAAGGAAAGAUUAAAUUUUGUUGGUCAUGUGUCAAUGCUGUGAAAAACUCUAAGUGACUUAAUGAUUACAGUAACCCCGUGUGUGGGAUAAAUAGCGACAUUUUUUUAAAAAUGAAAAAAAAAUGAUUAAAGAGAACGUCAAAGGGUUAAGUAAUGUAUGCAGUGGUGUCAGAGCUAUGACCAAACUUACAUAUGUAUUUAACUUUGUUUUAGCCUAAGAUUCUGAAAGGCAAAUAGAACAGAAAUUCUAACUUUUAAGUUGGUUAUUAAUAUAAAUAUAUUAUUAAUAUAUUUAAGUAGUUCAAAAGGAUACUCAUAUUUGUAGGACUGUAAACUGAAAUAACUUCUUUAGAAAGCAGUUGAGCAUUGUGGUUCAAUCUUUAAGAAUGUUCAUAGAACCAAAAAUCAGCUUCCUAUACCUAGACUGAUUGACUGAUUUAUUUUUUGAGACAAGGUCUUGCUAGUAGGCUAGGCCCCGUGUUGGCAAAGCUUUUAGAGAUGGAUGGCCAAACUACAAUUCAAAACCCAGUUUAGAAAAAAUAACUCCCAUACCACAGGUUUGCCAGCUACUAAGUGCUUGGAUUACUGGCAUACACCACCACUGAAAUUGUUUCUCAAGGAAAUAAUCUGCAAUAGAGCAAAAGCCUUAUUCAUAAACACUAUACCAUAAUAUUUAUAAGAUACAAAAAUUUAAAAUAUGGAAACUAAAUGUCUAUAUAGCUGUAUCUAAUCCGUAACAUUUAAGGUAACAUUUUAAAUGUUUAUUAUGUAACAAGUUUUUGAUGUUUAUGUAACAAAGCAAGAGUUACAGGUUGUUUUUGUUCCUGGUUUGAGUCAGGGUCUCUAAGUCUGGGUGACUCCUCACUGAUCUUCCUGGUUUCUAAAUGCUGGCAUGACAGUGUGCACCAUGGGAAGAUUUUAUAAUUUUAAGUAGGGAAAAAACUGAUGAAACUGAUGCAGUAUGGUGACAGCAAUGUUUUAAAAGAUUAUAAAGUGUCGGAAAAAAAAACUAAAUCCCCUGGUUUUCUCUGGGUAGUGUUUCUAUGGGCAGUUCUCCCUUUAUUUCAUUAUUUUUCUAUCACUUUUACCGUAUUAAAAUUUUUGUGUAAGGUGAAUUUUGCCACAACUACAAAUUACUGAUUACAUAAAAACAGCAAAGCCACUGUUGUAAUAAGAAUUGUAGUGAACUUUGCUGGCAGAGGUAUGGUCAGACUAAGUUUAUUGUUAAUUGCAAAUAUAAUCUAUGCACACAAAUACAAAAUUUUUAUAUUUUGUUUCUCAUAUCAAAUAUAUGCACUUCUAAGUAAAGUAUUGGAGAGUUAAUUAAAGUUUGUACUUCUCAUUGUUACUCUAGCACUUCAGAUUUCAAAGGGGAAAAGAAUCACAUUUGCUAAAACUACUUUUUUUCAGAAACAUUCUGAUAUUAACAGUUAUGGUACAGGACAUAUUUUUAUAUAGGACAAGCUUUGUUUACAAAGGAAACACAAGCCCCACAUGGUGGCACAUGCCUGUAAUCCCAGCACUCCGGGAAACUAGACAGGAGGGUGAAAAGUUGGAGCCCUUUCGGACAGUUUAGUGACUUUGGGAGAGCCUGUGUCAAAAUAAAAAGUCCUGGGGAUUUAGGUUAGUGUCAAGGCCCUGGAUCCAAUUCCUAGUACUAUAAAAGUAAAAUCAUAAAGUAAAAACUCUCAAACCAAUCUAUUACUAAGACAUUGUGCUAAAAUCUGUAAUAUGUUGAUUUAUUCCAAAUGCUAGAGUUCCACUGAGAGGUAUAAAGCACUUCUAUCACUAGCACACACUAAAGUACUUCUUAAAAAUGAAGAAAAUUCAUUUUUGCAAGAAUGUUUACAUUUAUAAAUGUGGAGAGCUGUGUUUGAUUUUGAUAUCUAGAACAUUGUAUCAUGGGCCCCUUGCUAGUGUGAAUAACACUGCGUUCCUGUCUUCUGGUUCAUAACAGGAGAGACACACAGGCUGUGCAAAACAGCUAUAAUAAAGGUAGACAGAGAGUCCUGGGAGAUGGAGAAGGGGGCAAUUAGCUAACUGCCUAGAGAGGAGAAUGCUGAGGAGCAGGGGGGGAGGCAGGCGAGAGAGGAGUGCGCAGAAGCUCUCUGCAGAGAGAAGCAGAAGCACCUGGCUGGGAGGCUCAGGCCAUGGCAGGACUGAAGGUUACCUACAAGUUUGUUUAUACCCAGAUGUUUCAGAAAGGCGAAUUGAGGUCUGUUUGACAGUCUAGAGUUUGUCCUUCAUCCUUAAGGAAAUAGGAACCCAUCGGUAAGGUGUAUUAAGAAGAGGAACAAUGUGAUUCAAUUUAUAUUUUAUUAAGGCAGCUGGUGUGGAAGGCCUGUUUCAGUGACACUGAGAGGGGACAGUGAGGUCACCCGGGACACCUUCGCUAGACUACAGCGAUCGACGGGAGAUAGAAAGCUGAACACAGGAGGUGGUGAGAGUAAAGAAGUGGGGAAGAAAAUGUAAAAGAUUCGGGGCUCCCCAGGCAUGGCGAUGCACCCCCGUAACUCCGGCUACUCAGAAGCAGGCAGGAAGAUCACAAUCAUGAGCCCAACCUGGGCAAUUUAAUGGAAUUUUGUUUCAAAAAUUAAAAAAAUAAAAAAAAUGCCUACGGAUGUAGCUGGGUGGCAGAGCCCAGCAGGCGCCAGGCCCGGAUUAAACACCCAGUACUGGGGAGGAGACCAAAAACGGACUAAGGAGCAGGAGAAGAGAUACACACGUGUGCGUUCAGGUUUCCAGUGAGCACCAGGAAAGGAAACGGGAGUGAAAGACAAAAGUAGAGCGAGGAAAACAACAAUAAUGCGGCAGGCUGAGGACAGGUCGAAUGUUAAGUCACAGAAAUCUAGGAACAAAUGUAUGCUCAGUAAUUGGGGAGAGGUGAGCUGUAAGAGUCAUUACGAAUGAGACAUUCAGUAAGUACUCAUCAAAGAAAAGAUCAUCGAUAACACGCUAAGACAAGCUGGCUUUCCCCCAUUUCCUUGAAAAUACACUUUUGUAAAAGCCAAGGAUUUCUGCAACAGUGUUAGUAUUAAUCUAAUGCAUUGUAAUAUACUAAGAUGUUUUUUCCAUCAAAGAAAAUUAUUCUCAUUAGGCACAGUGGUACACACCUAUAAUCUCAACUCUGAGCGCAUGAGGCAGGAGGAUCAAAAGUUUGAGUGCUGCGUGGACAACUUAGCAAAGAGCCUGUCUCAAAUUUUAGAAUCUUGUAAAGUGAGGAGGAUGUAGCUCAGUGGUGGAGGAGCCCUGGAUUCAAUUGCCAGUACAGAGUACCACGAAACAAACAAAACCUCACUGCUUUUAAAAAGCUAAAAAAAACGCGAAAAUUACAACUCUCUUAAAAUUUUUAUUGUAAGGAGGUAAAAUUAAACAACAAAAUAGGACAUAAGAAAGCAAUGUAAGAGAUAUAAAUUUCAAAGCUAGCUGACCUGAGGUCUUCACUGUAUCUAUCAAGUUGUCUCUUGUUUUCUUCCAAAUAGUUGUCCAUGUCCUCGCACACAGAAACAACGUAGUAUAGAACUGAGCUGAACAGAAUGAGGAAGGCGUUUUAGGUCUUCAGAACCAGACAACAGGGAAGUCACUAAUGGCUGUCAUAGUCUCUCGUUCUCUCCAAAACAGCUGUCCAUACUUGCAUGUAUAUUGAAGUGAAACAAAACUGGCAGAGGAGGAGGGGACGCUUCAGACCCCAGCACAGCGCAGGCCCCAGCAAACCCUGGUGGCUCCCGUCCUGGGCCACCGGAGCCUGCGAAAAUUAUCUCUUUUUAAGACCUGCAUUGUCAACAGUGGUGGCACAUGCCUGUCAGCCCAGCACUUGGGAAGCUGAGGAAGGAGGAGUUCAAAGGGAAGCCUGGGCUACAAAGUGAGUUCAAGGCCAGCUUGGGCUACAUACUAAGACCGUGUCUCAAAAAAAAAUAAAAAUUAAAAAAAGAUUUUCUAUUAUAAACCACAGUGUUUCGUACUACUGCCAUUAUCUUGCACCUUUAAGUACACAUUCACAAUGUGUUUAACAAUAUAAUAGCCUGCAGUAAAAUUAGGCAAAGUAAAUAAAACUAUCUUAUCAUUUACUUUGUGUGCCUAGGAAACCAUACACAGUUGCUGAUAUAAGCUAUAAAAUUUCAGUAGAGUCAAUAGAGGUACGAUGGCUGGCAUAGCUAAACCUGGAGUCUUGAAACACCAGGCUACUACCACCUUUAGGAAAUAAAGGAGAAAACCCCUCUCUGAGAUCAAAUUACAUAAGUACAUAAUUCAUGUGUUCACAGAUAGGAGCGGAUUAGCCUUCCACAAAGACAAGGUAAAAAUUUUAAUCCUUUCUGCUUGUGUAGAGGCAAUUUCAUUGUGAUAAAUGGCACUAAAAUUUUCAAAAACAAGUAAUAAAGAGCGGAAAGAGUCCAAAUGAGGGCAUCUACCAAUUUGGCUUUAUUCCCAGUUCCUACCAACAGGUUGUGAAGUGACCUUGAGAGAGUUUAUGGGCUUCUGUUACCUACUUUAAGCAAUAUUAACAGAGCAAGGAGAAUGUUAGAAUGUUACACAUAUUGUGCCUGUGUCAGGUAUUGUUCCAAAAGACAAUAAAUUUCAGGACUGGAAAAAGACCUCAAAGAGCAUUGGCUCUCUCCUCCAACAUUACAUUUCCAAAUGACUUUCUCAGCAGUAGACUUCUGCUGAGAACAGAGCUAUGCAAGAGCUAUGGAGGGAACCGUGUGUGUGCUUAAUUUUCUCUUCUAUAAAGUGAGGAAACUGGCCUAGCCCGUCUGUAAGCUUUCUUAAAGCUCUAAAAAUUCUCAACCCUGAUUCACAUAUAUAAAAUCUUUAAUUUUGCUGAGUAUUGUGGGCCGUGCUUGUCAUCCCAGCACUCAGGCAGGAGGAUUGAGGGUUGGAGUCCAGCCUGACCAACUUGGUGACUUAGUGAGAAAUAGAGGGGAGCACUGGGAUUGUGCAGGCUCAGAGGUCCAUCCCCUGUACUUCAAAGGAAAAAAGUUGGUUCUCAGACAGACAGUUACAUAAUUUACAGGCAUUACUGUAUAUUUUGUAACACACAAAAAGUAUGUGUGUACAGAGAAUUGUUUAAUAUCUAGGAAGUAUAGGUCUAUUUUUCUCAUUUAUGACUCAGUAAGCUUGGUGCAUUUUUGGACUUCUCUUGCCUUAUGGGGGUAUAUUAAAGUAAAUGAAAUUAAGAAAUAUUCACUCUAAAUACUGACACUGACUAUUCUAGACAGUUUUUCUCUAGAAGUUUGUGACAUUUUAGUGUUACAUUAAUUUAGCUGAAUCUAUAUGACAAUGUUGAUUACUGUGGAAGAAAGUAACCCAGUAGUUUUGGAGUGUCGAGUGUGCAAAAUUGAAACCUUAUUGUGGUUUGAACAUAUUACCCACAGAUAACUUGAUGUUUCUUUAAGAGAUGGAGCUGACCGUCCCUCUUCCUGAGUGGGCGGGACUUGACACCUUACUGUUAACAAAUAGCUCACAGGAGAAUUGACAGCAGCACUGUGGUCCGAAUGUGUCCUCCCAAAAUUCCGUAUUUGAAAUUUAGUUGCUAGGGAGACAGAGAGGUGAAGGAGAAGUAAAAAGAAUUCAGAUGUGUUAUGUGCACCUACCAACUCCCCACAGUGAACGCACUCACUAGGUAUCACAAACACACACUAAUGAAAAGAAGCAGUUCACAGAAGAGACUUCACCCAGGCUUUGCCCCUUUCCCUCCCACCCUUGCCCAAUGAGGACAAAUAGCAAAAAGGCUCCCUCCGAGGCACAGAUAGCCAGCCAGUUCUCACCAGACAGCAAAUCUGCUGGUCCUUGAUCUGGGGAAUUCCCAGCCUCCAGAAUUGUGAGAAAUGAAUUAGUUAUAAACUGCCCUGCCCGUUAGCCUUCCAUCACUGUAAUGAAGUAUGUAAGGUAAUCAACAUAAAAGCAAAAGCUCCUUUUGGCUCCCGCUUCUGCAAAUUCCAAGCCAGGAUCAAGUGGCCCAGUUGCUUUGGGUCUCUGCUGAGAAUGCCACAUCACACCAGUGUGUCUGAAGGGGCUCACUGCUCACCUCCAGGACGGAAAGCAGAGAGCUCAAGAGCCUGAGAGGCAGGAAUCCCACAGUGCCUUUUAAGUCAUUGGGCCGAAGACCAGAGGACCCCCCAUAAGGCCGCACCUAUUGAAGUCUUAAGGUACCUAUCAAUACCUCUGGGACCUGCGCCUUUUAACAGAUGUUUGAGGGACGCUCAUCUGAGCCAUAGUGACAGGACCAGACUAAGAGAGUACACAGUUUCUGAGACCAGAUCACGAGAGGUAGGCUACUGCAGUUUCCUCCUUUUUGGCUUUGGGAUCACUUACUUUGGGGUAGUUCAGAAGCCACAUACUGAUGAAGCAGCUCUGGAGAAGUCCACAUGGUGGCCAAGGGAGGCUCCUGCCAUCAGUAAAGGACCUUCUGCAAACAACCACAUAAAGAAACACCAUGGAUGCCAACGGCUCUUCCAGCCCCAGUCAGCCUCUGGAUGAUGGCUGCUCCUGCCAACACCCUAAAUGCCACCCCCUAAGGCAGAACCAUUCAGCAGUGCUGCUCCAGACUCCUGACUCACAGAAACUAAAACAUUAAUGUCAUUAAACUUUAGGAUCAUUUUGGAUAUUGCAAUAUAUAAACGCAUUUACCUAUAAAGGGUUCCCACUCGAGUUAGAUGACUCUGUAGUUUUUAAAGUGAUUGAAUUAUUUAAUAAGAUCUGGGACUGGACAAGACUUCAAAGAAGAACUGAAUUAUUUUGCAGAAACCACUAAUAUCUCUCGAGUUUGUCUUGGUCAAAUGUGGGCUUCUACUGUUUCCUAUCUCAGUGAAGGUGUGAACUCAUCUUUCACCUUCCUUUCUGCUUGAUACCCUCAUGCCUAACCUAAUUAUUUUACCGCCUCUUGCCUCUACUUUUUUAUUUUAUUUUAUGGUACCACGGAUCACACUCAUGUUUGUGAGGCAGACACUUAUGCCACUGAGCUAAAUGCCUGGCCCUCUACUUUUAAACCUGUAUGACCCCUCCAUACUCCAAGCCACACAAUGGUUAUGCCCCCCACUUCUUUGAGAUAGUGUCUCAUUCCAUAGUUUAGCCUGGCCUUGAACUCACUGUGUAGUCCACACUGGCCUCAAACCUGCAGCAAUCCUCCUGCCUCAGCCUCUUGAGUGCUGGGAUUACAGGUGCAUGCCACCUCCCACUUGCUAUCCCUUUUGAGUCUCAGUAAUAAGAUAGCCUCUUCUCAUGUUAACUUAUGCCCAUAAAAUUAAUUCUCAAUACUAAAUUAACUAAUAUUAAUUAUGGUUAUCUCCCAUUUCCAUUCCAUCACUGUCCCUCUAAACUUGUCUGUUGAUUUCCCAUUUCUGGUCAUCCAGUUGCACUUGUUUUCCAAGCUCAAGUCACUCUGACCUGUUGUUACUCCUAGAAUACAACUGCUACCGCAUCCAGGCUGCAAGGAUCCUGCAUGUACACUUCCCUCAACAUCAUUUGCCUCCUGAUGCCUGCUCAUCCUUCAGAUCUGAGUCAUAACUCAAAUCUGAACUGAUGUCCCUAUACAACUUCCCUGUACCUUUUCCUUGUAGUACUAAAUAGCAGUUAUAUGGGUGAUUUGUUUUGUUUGGGAUACUAAGGAUUGAACCCAAGGCCUCACACAUCCUAGGCAAGUACUCUAUCACUGAAUUAUACUGCCUGCUCAGCAUUUAUAUUGUUACUGCUUGGAUUUUUAAAAUUUCGUGUCUCGCUGGGUGUGGUAGUGCAUGCCUCCAGUCCCAGAACUCGGGAAGCUGAGGCAGCAGGAUCACUGUGGGCUCAAGGGGAAUCUGGUCUACAAAGUGAGUUUAAGUCCAGCCUGAACUAUGCAGUCAGAUCCUGUGUCAAAAAGCCACACACAAAAAAAUUCGUGUCUGUUCUCCUCACCAUGCUACAAGUGUAAAUGUAAGAACAGUGUAUGUGUCCUUUCAUCCUCUUUCUGUGAACAUAGCACUGUGACUGGGGCAUUCUAAAGUGUUCAGUAAACAUUUUGUAAUGGAACAAUGAAUCAAAUCACCCAAGAAGUUAAUGUGAAACUAAGAUUUAGGUUUUCUAUCUUUAAUUUUAAUGUUAAUUACAACCCACCUGCAGCUUUCAGUUUGAUGCACUCAACUACAGAUAUCAAUAUAAUGAAUAUAUAAAAUGCAAACAAAUCAUUGAUAUUCCUCAAAUAUAUUUAGCAACCAGUGGGACACAACAUCUGGUUAUAGUUACUGUAUAGAUCACUUUGUAUAUUUUGAGUCUAAGUAAAAGAAUGUACAAUUGGCUUUUUACAAAAGAAAUCAGUGUAUAUAAAUGUAACAAUCACAGGUAAAUUUGGAGAGACUAUCUGACUCAGAGUUGGCUGUUGCUGAUAAGUAUUAGGAAUGAAUGUGUGAAGUAAGUGGCAAAUUCUAGGUCCUUGAUCUAGUCCAACUGUCAGCCUCUGGAGUUUUUUCCAUGCCACUGGCCCGUGUCCCUGUUCUGCUCCUUCUGAAUCCUUUUCUGGUGAACUGAUUGCAAAAGCAGUUGACCCAGCAGACCUGAAGCACUGAGGCGGCAGCCAUCAGUGCUGUGUCCCUUGUCGGUGGCUGGCUCUCAGCUCUACUGUAGUCAGCGUGGCUUCCAGGACGGUGUGCGGGGCAUCGUAGUAAAUUCUUCAGGGGAAACCUGUAAGAAUGCAGGAAAAGGCUUUUGGUCAAUGAUACAAACUAUAUUACUUAUCACUGUCAUACAGUAAUACACAGUACAUUACAAUGAUAUAAACUAUAUGGGAACUGUUUGGCUUUUUCCCUAUGAAAAUGAUUUUGAAGAGCGAUUCAGUUCUGAGGAUGACCAGAAGAAGCUUAAUAAAAUAUGAUACAGCUGGACCAAUAGUCUGGUGGUGUCUGAAAUCAACUGAGGUAAUCAAGUUUUGAUCAGAGCACAAAUUGGAGUUUGAUGUUGAGAUGAUAAAAGUGUGUUUCUGUUUUCAGCUAAUUAAACUCUGUCCAUUUACUUAGUCUGUUAGCCAAUUACAGAUUCUACAGGAAGUGCUGGGACUAUCAGGUGGCAGGCCUGCUCCUCCCUCCGCAGACUCAGUCCAGCUGGGAAUGGGGGUGCACGCCUGUGAUCUCAGCACUCAGGGAACUCAGGCAGGAGGACCGGCCACUGUGAGUUUGAGGGCAGCAAGGAGUACACAGUAGUUCAAGACCAGCCUGAACUACAGAGAGAGACCCCGUCUCAAAACAAACAAACAAAACAAACUCAGUCCACUGGGAGGAACAAUGUCCUCAGCAUAAAACUACAGCAUCCUGCAGGACACACGCCAGUUGAUCCCUCUCCUUUUCUAGGUCCAUCUACUUACUCAUAACUGUCAUAGCAUCUUGACUUCGGGCCCAGGAAUAGCUCAAACUCAGCCUUCCCAGGGUGAACCCAUCAUCUUUUCUGCCCCAAACUCUCUUUCUCUUCUUCCUCUUUCUCCUCCUGAUUAUAUUUCAUCCUCAUUUGUGAAAUUAUUUGUUCACGGUCAUCCUUCCCUGAAACCUGAAAGUAAUCCUGAACUUGUUCAAGUUCCACUUUCCAUCAGCAGCCAAAUCCUACUCAUCCAUCGAAGCGUCUUCCGAGUCACUGUCUUCUCUAAUUCACCUAAUUACCGUGGACUUGAUCCUGGAUGCUAUUGAGCCUCCCACCAGAAUGUAACACCAGCGUUCAGCCCCUCUCUCACACAGCUUCUACCAGAUGUAUUUUCUUUGUGUUUUGAGAUAUCUAGAAAUCGUAGCUGCAGGGCCAGCCCGCAGUAGAUUAUACUGCAAUUAGCAGCUCUUAUUAAUGUGGCCAACCUGGUGACCAGAGUUUAUGUUUGCUUUUGCUACAUCACUCUGGAAUGUGAAUAUUCUAUUAAUUCAAGGACAAUCAGGUCACAGACUAUCUGGCUCACAUAAAUUUAUAAGAGAAAGUAAAAAUAUUGGCUGUUAAGUUCAGACAGUCCUAUGUUCUAAAUCUAGCACUGCUAUAUAACAUGGCAUAUAAAAUGUUUCUUGAUAUUUUUCUUCUGUUGCCCUCAUUUUAUUUAUAGAAAAAGGGAGUUUUCUAUUUAAACAAUUAGGAUUAAGCUCAGCAGGAAGUGACAGUAAGCCCAAAAUAAUAGUAGCUUUAAAAAGAUACCCAGCCAGGCGGGUGGUCUAGAACUGGUUCAGUAUCUGCUCAAUUAUCAGCCUCACCAUUUGCAACAGGUGGCUUCCGCCACAUGGCAUGACAUAACUGCCCCAGUUCCCGCACCAUGUUCACAUUAAAGGCAGAAGAAACAAGUUUAAACAGAGAAGAGAGAGAGAGAGAGAGAGAGAGAGAGAGAGAGAGAGAGAGAAGGGCGUUCUCAUUCCUUUAAGGGCACUUCUCAGACUUGUCUCUCUGCACAUCAUUAUACAUCAUAUGUGUACUAUUGGUUAUCUAACCCUAAUUAUAACACAUACGUGUUAUAUAUAGAAUGUUCAUUGGACAGAACUUCACCAUAAUUUAGCCAUAUGACUAAAUCUGAUGACAAAGGAGAUUAAAAUUAUAUAGUUUUUACUCUGGGUAACUGUUGGGAGCCGCGUCUGUGAUAGCUCGCCUUGCGCGGCGGACGUGCGGCCUGUGGUAAAGAGCAAAGCCUGAGGUAGAUUACCCCUCCCAUCGAAUAUGUUAGUUUCCUGCUUACCGCGUAAACAACCCGCUCAACAAUAUAGUCUGCCUGGCAACUGAUGAUGUUAGCCAAUCAGCUUGCCUUGCUUACUUUAACAUGAUUGGACACUGUACCCGUAUAUAUACCGGUGCCACCCCUGGGCGGAAGAAGAAGCCAGGUAGAAGCCCGGAAGUAGAAGCACAAAAGGAGCCGCGGGGAGCGGACCAGAGGAGGCUUCAGCUGGGAGAACCCAGGGCAGGCUGUACGGAGAAGAAAAAUAAAAGAAAAGGUUGUCCACUGCCAGACUUUGUCGUGUGUCCUUCCUGCCGGCCGGGAGCGGACAUCGACAUUUGGAGGCCCGCCCGGGGACUGAUCACCCCCGAGACGUGGAAGUGGACAACGCUCCAGUACAGAGCUGCGAGACAGUGGUCAGCUGGAACCGAGGCGCGGUUUGUGUUUUCCCACAGGAACCGGGACGAGAACCACUGUGGAUACCGGAGAGACUGACACGGGCGACAAAGCCCUCGACUAAAGAUCAGACCUGCCCUACCGGAGAUCCAUCACAGACCAACCAACAAGAUAAAUAAAAAUAGCGGUAGCCCGAAAUAGACAAGAAGAUCCUCAGGCAUAUGCAUGGCUCGCUCGCCUAGCCUACGACCGAGUCUAGGGACGGUGAGCUUCCCACACUCCUCCUCUAAAAAAUUAUGACAUAGCUGGGUAGGAGAGUCAAUGACGGGUAAGAGCGUACUCCCCCGGUGCGACUCAACCUAAGCCAGGCCCUACCCCAUUCUGCACGUAAGCCGCUGGACUGUUAGAUGCUGCCCAGGUCUAAAUUUCUCUCCGAGGGGAUUUCUUUACGGAGAGGAAAUGAGUGCAAGCUUGUGUGCAUCCAGGUUCCGUCCAGUUUGUGCCUGGCCCUAGAAAAAGGACGAGGGCCUCAGGGCCUUGACAGACCAUGGCAUGGCCGACCAGGGUCUAAGCCAAGGACCUACGGUGGGCCUACACAUAGGGCAUAAGCCUCUACACCCAGUCCAGGAAGGGCUACGAUGCGCACAUUCAUAAAAAAUAAAAUAGGGGGAGAUGUUGGGAGCCGCGUCUGUGAUAGCUCGCCUUGCGCGGCGGACGUGCGGCCUGUGGUAAAGAGCAAAGCCUGAGGUAGAUUACCCCUCCCAUCGAAUAUGUUAGUUUCCUGCUUACCGCGUAAACAACCCGCUCAACAAUAUAGUCUGCCUGGCAACUGAUGAUGUUAGCCAAUCAGCUUGCCUUGCUUACUUUAACAUGAUUGGACACUGUACCCGUAUAUAUACCGGUGCCACCCCUGGGCGGAAGAAGAAGCCAGGUAGAAGCCCGGAAGUAGAAGCACAAAAGGAGCCGCGGGGAGCGGACCAGAGGAGGCUUCAGCUGGGAGAACCCAGGGCAGGCUGUACGGAGAAGAAAAAUAAAAGAAAAGGUUGUCCACUGCCAGACUUUGUCGUGUGUCCUUCCUGCCGGCCGGGAGCGGACAUCGACAGCCGGGUGCUCAGACAGGAGUGUGGAGCUGUACCUCAGAACAGUCUGUCUCCGUGAGGAAUGCCUGUGCCGGCCUGGUGGUAUCUCCUGCGUCAGCCUCAGCAGGGGCGAUUCAGAAAACCAGUAAUGCCUUGGCAGGAAGGUUUCUCUGCUAAUGCCGACUCCUGAGGAGGACAUGGCUCCUCUCCAGACUGCUCCCUGAAUGCAUCCAAAUCUUCCAAAGGAUACAAGUCUGGCCUUGGCUUUGUUCUCCCACCACCUGUAGUAUCCCUCUUUGAUUAUGAAAAUAAUGUCAUCCUUUUCUUCCUCCCGUCCUUGUCUCUGUGCAGAGAAAGAUCCUUUUUGGGUGUUGCUCAGGUAUUUUACAGCUCACGAGACAAGAGAUGCAUAUAGGAAAUUCAGGUAGCAUCAGACAAAAGCUUCAAGCUUAUAAGUAGCCUUAAAAGCUAGACAGUAAUACUACUCAUUUUGUUUUUCUUGGCAUGUGUGUGUAACUAGGUCAGCCUUUCUGAGGCUUCUUCUUUUCUCUGGUCCAUCAUCUUCAAGAAAUAAGACCCAGGCAGUCCAGUUCCUGGGUCUUGCACGUAGCGUGCAGCCUGGAGCCCAGGCCGGUCCUCUCCGGAGGCGGCUCUGUCCCAGCACACUGCGGGUCUGGCUCCCAGGCCUGGGUGGGAAAGAAGAGGAACCUGAAGGAGGGAAAACGGACGGCAAAGGCUGCGUCGUGACUUACACAUUUCAAGUGGAGCAGGCUGCCUGUCUUCUCAGUUAUGUUUUCAUUUUUCACACGGAAACCUCACCUACAGUUAUUCUCAGAAUAACAUUCAAAUCCGAGGUCUCCCAGCUUUGUUAAAAACUUCUUUCUUAUUUUAGAGUAAUCAUUGGCUCACACAACAAACUGUUACUAAGCACCUGACAAGCACCAAAAAGGCAUCAGGGAUAACUCAGGUAUUUUCAUCAUUCAUCAUUUCAACGUGUUUGUAAUAUACUGUGAUACUGAGUGAGUGUGUGCAUCGUUUCCUUCUCAGUCACCAUUUAAAUCAUUUCUUCCUGGCAGCUUCCUAUAGCCUGCACCCGUGGCAUGUGCACCCAUUUUUUAUUCUCAAAUGGUGUAACUUUUUAUCUCCUGCUUUACCAUUUUUUAAAUCCCUCACUGAAAGCCGACUUAACAUUGGGUCUAUGGACCCUGCUCCUGCCUGAAUUCUCUAGAAGGCCAAGCAUCCUCCAGUAUUACGCACUGUUUGAGCCUCUUUCCUUGGUAUUAAAGCAGCAUCACACAAACCACAUGGCAGGAGGCGAAAAUCACCAAAAAAGACACAGAAGUCUCAGUGUUUUGAAGAUUGCACAAAAAUGAAGAUACCCUUGAUCUAUGUCUCACAUCUAACCCUGAUGUGACAAAAUUAAAAACAAGAAAUAUAUCUCAGUUUUAACUAUACAUAGUAUAUUGGAUCAUACUUCAUAUUUUUAGUUAAAUAAUUGUCACCUCUUACAACAAUUUCUACUAGAAAUCUGUAAUAAAGCAUUAAGCUACAAAGAAAA